ACAGGAUCAGGAUGUGCACCGAAACGACCAUCAGCGGGCUAGGAACAUUGUUCCACGAGCUGGGCCACGUUUAUUACUUCAUGCUGUACGCGGACCUGCCACAUGUUUUUCGAACAGGCGCAAACGCAGCAUUCCACGAGGCUGUUGCAGACGCGCUUUCAUGGUUAGCCAUUCAAUCUAGACGACUUCGAGAACAUCUUGGGUUUGGAGUAACAGAUGCCGCUUCGGAGACACACCACCAACGGGCGCUUGCCUUUGACCAUGUCGGCCAACUGUUUCAUGGAAUAGCAACCAGUAUGUGGAUGUGGACAGUGCUGGACGAACCUGUGAGCCGCGAGAGCAUGGACUCACUCUACUGGGA
rnacentral:lncRNA from 1 species